GAGUCUGCAACUCGACUCCAUGAAGUCGGAAUCGCUAGUAAUCGUGGAUCAGAAUGCCACGGUGAAUACGUUCCCGGGCCUUGUACACACCGCCCGUCACACCAUGGGAGUGGGUUGCAAAAGAAGUGGGUAGCUUAACCUUCGGGAGGGCGCUUACCACUUUGUGAUUCAUGACUGGGGUGAAGUCGUAACAAGGUAACCGUAGGGGAACCUGCGGUUGGAUCACCUCCUUACCUUAAAGAAGC
rnacentral:rRNA from 1 species